GACGAACGCUGGCGGCGUGCCUAAUACAUGCAAGUCGAGCGAGUCUGCCUUGAAGAUCGGAGUGCUUGCACUCUGUGAAACAAGAUACAGGCUAGCGGCGGACGGGUGAGUAACACGUGGGUAACCUGCCCAAGAGAUCGGGAUAACACCUGGAAACAGAUGCUAAUACCGGAUAACAACAGAUGAUGCCUAUCAACUGUUUAAAAGAUGGUUCUGCUAUCACUCUUGGAUGGACCUGCGGUGCAUUAGCUAGUUGGUAGGGUAACGGCCUACCAAGGCGAUGAUGCAUAGCCGAGUUGAGAGACUGAUCGGCCACAUUGGGACUGAGACACGGCCCAAACUCCUACGGGAGGCAGCAGUAGGGAAUCUUCCACAAUGGACGCAAGUCUGAUGGAGCAACGCCGCGUGAGUGAAGAAGGGUUUCGGCUCGUAAAGCUCUGUUGUUGGUGAAGAAGGACAGGGGUAGUAACUGACCUUUGUUUGACGGUAAUCAAUUAGAAAGUCACGGCUAACUACGCG
rnacentral:rRNA from 1 species